AGCCCUUUUGGACUUGUUGCACUGCAUUAGAUAAGUAACUCUCUUGCACCAAAGUAUCUAAGUAGCAAUUUACAUGGUAAAUUAUGUUAACGGUUUCAAGAGCUUGAAACCAUUUCCAAAAUAUGUUUAAACAAAAUCCUUACUUAUCAUUAAACUGAAAAUAAAAACAAAGUGUUAGACACAAUUAAUUAAUUAAUUGAAUUGUUAAAUUUUAUUUUUUUCAGUUGAUGAGCUCCUCAAAAUGGCCACAGAUACACUCUUCUGUCUCCAAGCCUAAAGUGACCACAGAAUGUAGAGGACUGUGUGUCUGUGGUUCAGGCAGAAGCUCAGCAUCAUCACCUCCUCUGCCAAAUCUUCCUGCCUUUUGUCAUGCCAAAUGGAUGAUGACUCUAUAAGAGAAUUGUGUGAGUAAAGGGUAGAGUUAAGCAAUAUGACUCUAUUAUGUCCUGUCAUUUCUGAUUAAUCUGAUUCUCUCAAGAUGGAAAUACUACAAAAUACUAGUUUUUGAACAUUCAAUGCUGGGGAUAUUAAUAAGGCUAUUAACCUAGUAGGAAAGAAGUAGCAAAAAAUGCCGGGAAUGGAAAAGAAAUCUGUCAGGUGCAUUCUAAAAUACCCAUGUCAGUAAUUGAACAAGCUUUGAACAAGAUUGAACAGUUCUUCCUGAUUUGUUAAAGCUUUGCAUUUUUUGCCAUAAGCAGCUAUAUAUUGCUGGUACACAGCCUUCUGGAACAUAUGUGAUUAUCCUGUAAUUUUUCUCUUCUGCAGUUUGUGCAGAUCUGUGGAUAUCACUGUGCUGGACUGUGGAUAUCACUUGAAAAAUUCAUCUACAGUGAAGCCACAAUGGUCACAGAAAUGUUGUGCUUCCCCUAUGUUACCUACCUAUCUGUUACCGCCUUUUCAAGAAAGACUGCAUUAAAUGUCUUUCUUUAGGAAGGUCAUUAGUCAUAUUUUCUAAUGGAGCUAAAACCAGAUUUUUCUAAAGCAUAUUGAUUUCUGUCUAGGGUGGGGCAGCCUUGCAAUGGAAAAUGUAUCAUUAAGAAUAUAUUACAUCUGGACAAUAAUCUUCAGGUACCUGUAAAGAUCAGAGGGAUGCCAAUAUGAUCUUGAGCUCUGAAUUGGUGUGGUCUCUGUGGAAAAGGUGGAUAGAUAGUAUUUGUGUAGAGACUACACAAAAUACUUGGGGUUUAGUAUUUAAUGCUAGCAGAUUGUGCUAAAUGUACUAGGAAGGUAAUCUUUAUGUUGGCAAAUCCAGAAUCAUUUGGCACCAUAACUCUCCUCAAGUGUGACAUCCUGCCCUCCCAGCAGGCCAAAAGAAGCUGAACAAAGAAGAGCAGGGAGUCAGGAAAGUUAGUUUUUCUGUGCUGCUCUCUCCUACCUACAAGAAAUAUUCAUUUACAAAAUGCAUUGGCUAGCUGUUUGCUUCUCUUUCUCCACAGGAUUUAAGGUAAAAGAUGCAGCCUGUGCCUUCCCUUACCUGGAUAUUUCUCCCUGGUGUGGGCAAGGUAUCCUGACAAUCAGUAUGGCUGAGAAAGCCUUUGAAUGAGGCUCAACAGAGCACUUUCCUUCAUUAGCUGUCUUGAAAGCAAAACAAAGGAAAUCCAUCCAGAUCUUUAGCCAAUCCUGCUCAAAGAGAGCAAAGCCUUCAAAAACCCCUAUGGCUGAAAAAAUGUUGUGAUGGCUGCCAAGUCAGGCACUAAGAAGUUAGUAAAUAUUAAAAUGGAGACUUCCUUAAUAUAGUUCUUUCAUGCAUGUAAUUGGGAUUUAGCUUUCAACUGAAUAAACACCAACUGAGAAUGCA
rnacentral:lncRNA from 1 species